rnacentral:rRNA from 1 species
GACGAACGCUGGCGGCGUGCUUAACACAUGCAAGUCGAACGGAGUGGCGCACGGGUGAGUAAUACCUAGGAAUCUGCCUGAUCGUGGGGGAUAACGUUCGGAAACGGACGCUAAUACCGCAUACUCUCCGAUGAGCCUGGGUCUGAUUAGCUAGUUGGUGACGUGAGGGCUCACCAAGGCUACGAUCCGUAACUGGUCUGAGAGGAUGAUCAGGCACACUGGAACUGAGACACGGUCCAGACUCCUACGUGAGGCAGCAGUGGGGAAUAUUGGACAAUGGGCGAAAGCCUGCGCCAGCCAUGCCGCUUGUGUGAAGAAGGUCUUCGGAUUGUAAAGCACUUUAAGUUGGGAGGCGUUACCGACAGAAUAAGCACCGGCUAACUCUGUGCCAGCAGCCGCGGUAAGAC